rnacentral:lncRNA from 1 species
GCGUGUGCUUCCACACGGGAGGGAGGCUCGGAAGCUCCCCUGUGGCGUCCCUGGGCUGCUCAGCCUCUCUCUGCCUGCACCCCUCCGGCCUGUGUGUGCCCACCCACCUGGUGCCCGGCGUGGACUCCAGAGGCCGCAGCAUCUGUGUGAGCUCCCGGGCUCGGCUCCUCCAGGAAGCGCAGCCAUUGUCUGCUGAGGGGAUGUCUGUGCCACCCUGUCCCUAGAGCCCAAGGCGUGGGGUGUGGGAGCUCCCCAAAGCCUCGCCGUGUGCUCCUCUGGCUGAGCAGCAUGGCCUCCCCUUGUCCCAUCUCAGAGCGAUCAGUGUGGGGUGCAGGGCGGAGCAGCCUGGGUUCCAGGGGGGAGCUCUGGCUCACAGUCCCCGGCGGGCCCUGCGUAUGGACUUGGGGCUCUGAUCCCAGUGGGAGGGGCUGCGAAGCCCAUUCUGGCUUCUCCCCAGUUGAGGAUCUUGGUGAGCCUCCAACCCCCGAGCUGGGGGCCUUUAGAAAGCUUUUCCUGCUACUGAGUACGCAGGCCCCUUGGGGACAGGGCCACGGACCGAGCCUUCCCAGCCCCACUGCACCUGCCUGGCUGUUUCCUGGAAACACCUUCUAGUGGCCAUCUCCCAGACACAUCAGUUCCCCAAUGUGCAUCAGCCUCCUUCUAGUAAGCUCGAACUCUGGGGCAGUGUCUCUAUCCCUCACUGGUUUGCUGUGUGACCUCAGGCCAACAAGCAAGCCCUCUGCUCUGCUUGGGAGGAGAAUCUGUGUAGAGUUGUUGGGGAACAGCCCGGAGCAACAGAAGAUUCGUGCGGAAGGAACCCAGAACCAUAAAGCAUUCCCCAAGUUCCAAGACAUCGGCGCCAACCGCGGCCUCGGAGAGGGGCUCUUCAGCGUGGAAUGUGACCCCAGGAAGCUCCAGCGGUCCUGGGCAAUGAGGUCAGCCCGCGGGGCCAAUGGGCCACCCUAUGGCCAUGGUCAUGGGUCCCUCUCCCAGCCACCCCCGCCUGCAGAACUCCUCAGCUGUUUCCCAUCCGCGUCAGGCCAGCGCCAGGGCCAGAGCCGCCCAUUCCCGGAGCUGCUGACCUUCCAGCCUGCGCCUUUCCUUUUUUGACUGUCCCCUCGCUUUGUGCUCAUUCCCGCGUGUGCCGGAGGGGAGGAUGCCCGGAAGGGGCGGCACCCAGGAGGCCUCAGUCCCCAGCUGAGAUGAUGAACCGCGAGGGCCUGGUACUCUGGGCCCAGCUCCGCCAGGGCCUCUGCCCAGGUCCUCCAGGACCAGGAAGCCCACGACGUCCUUCGCCUGUCCCCUCCCUUGGUCCCUAGGCCCACAUAGCACUUCGGCCACCACGGGAAUGUGGCUGAAGAGGAGGUGGGAGGCCUCUGGAAGCCGACUUCCUGGGGAGCCAUCAGCGGGCUCCUCUAGGCCUCCGGGGCCCAAUCUGAGUUCCAGGACCACGUCACUGGCCUCUCGUCUCUCCCCAAGGCAUUUGCCAGGGGACAGAGGGUGGUGGGUGGGACCCUGCCCCCUGCCCCAGAUCCUAUUUGCACCGCAAGGCCGGAGGCCCACAGCGUCCAGCCCCACUCACCUCUCAGCCCACACCCAGACCCAAGCUGCCCUCUCCCGCUCCCAGCCAGCAAGUCCCUUCCACGGGGCCGGCCACAGCUCCCCGUCUCCGCGUCCCCAGCUGCACCCCACUUCUUCACCUCCUCAGAAAGCCCUGCCCAAGCCCGAACCAAGCUCUGUCUCCUCCCUGUUUCCCUGGGACCCCUUCUCCCCUUGCUCAAAAACCUGAGUUGGGCCGGGCGUGGUGGCGCACAUCUGUAAUCCCAG